CCCCACCUUUGGCCCAUCCCGUCAGUGCAGAGGCCGAGAGCACGGACCCCCGAGCCCCCCCCACCCCUGGGUUCAAAUCCUGGCUCUGCCCCUGCUGGCUGCGUGCCCUGCAUGCCGUGUGCUGCGUCAUUUCCCGCUCCGAGCCUCGCUUUGCUCGUCUAUAUGACGGGGACGACUGGAGUUCCUCGUCUGAACCUCACCUUCCAGGCUGAUCUAGUUCUGUCCACCUCCCCGCUGGCCUUGCUGUGAGCACCCCAGUGGUUUCCAAGGACCGGGUCUCCUAGACUCCUGGUUCCCCCUGUCUUGGUCGCCGGCUCGAACACGCACAGACUGCUUUCCUCUCGUUCCCUACAUGGAAUGAUUUUAGCGCAGCCUUAAAGAGAAGAAUAUAAAAUUAGUACCUGGUGAGUUUCACCAGUCUGUUCACACUGAGCAAAACACAGACAAAUAACAGAAUGUCCAGGGAAAUGAUGCUGUCUGGCUACUUUGUCUUUUGGGUUCACGAUAAACUACAAAUGAAUUCAUUAAAAAUAGUCAGUAGGCACCUA